CGGACCUACUCCACUUAUUAGUCCCGGCCACGCUCAAUAAAGGAGGUACAGACAAAACCGCUGGCUCGCGGUGCGGCAGUGUGGAGACCUGUCGUAAAGCAUCCGUCACGUAUGCGGGCGGAAGCGAGGUGGGCAGUUGAUGAAGUUCGUGCCCAUCAGAGCCGGAAAGCAGAUGGC
rnacentral:ncRNA from 1 species